UACGUAGGGCGCAAGCGUUGUCCGGAAUUAUUGGGCGUAAAGAGCUCGUAGGCGGUUUGUCGCGUCUGCUGUGAAAACUCGAGGCUCAACCUCGGGCUUGCAGUGGGUACGGGCAGACUAGAGUGCGGUAGGGGUGACUGGAAUUCCUGGUGUAGCGGUGGAAUGCGCAGAUAUCAGGAGGAACACCAACGGCGAAGGCAGCUCGCUGGGACGGUACUGACGCUAAGGCGCGAAAGCGUGGGGAGCGAACAGG
rnacentral:rRNA from 1 species